AGUGAACGCUGGCGGUAGGCCUAACACAUGCAAGUCGAACGGUAGCACAUUAAGAGAUUGCUCCUACGGGCGGCGGGUGGCGGACGGGUGCGGAACACACCGGAACCUACUUUUUCGUGGGGGAUAACGUUGGGUAAUACACGCUAAUACCGCCUACGACCUACGGGUGAAAUCAGGGGAUCUUCGGACCUUGCGCGCCUGUAUCAGCCGAUGUCGGAUUAGGUAGUUGGCGGGGUAAAGGCCUACCAAGGCGACGAUCCGUAGCUGGUCUGAGAGGAUGAUCAGCCACACUGGAACUGAGACACGGUCCAGACUCCUACGGGAGGCAGCAGUGGGGAAUUUUGGACAAUGGGCGCAAGCCUGAUCCAGCCAUACCGCGUGGGUGAAGAAGGCCUUCGGGUUGUAAAGCCCUUUUGUUGGGAAAGAAAAGCAGCAUGUUAAUACCCCGCGGUUCUGACGGUACCCAAAGAAUAAGCACCGGCUAACUUCGUG
rnacentral:rRNA from 1 species